GCAUGCUUAAAACAUAGCGUUCAUGCACCAAAUCCAAUUAAAACUCCAUAAUUAAGAACACUUGGUCUAGAGUAGUAAUGCAAUGGGUGACCACCCGGGAAGUCCUAGUAUUUGACAUGCC
rfam:Picea glauca, whole genome shotgun sequence.